AUUCAUUGAGGGCGCCUUAGAUUACGCAUGUGUUUAUGGUGUGUACUGAAUUCUUUGAUUUUUUGCGAUCGAACUCAUACAUAACUCACCCGAUUGUGUUAACGCGACACAAAAUUUUUUGACGAAAUUGUAUUUGUCAUGUAGGAAAAUUUAAAAACCUCUAUACAUAAGAAAAACGCAUCUAACAGAAUACUCCUAUCGCCAAUUUCUACAAUAGAUUUGAGUGAAGAAAUAUCUACAAUUUCAUAUGAAAAUAUCAGUUCUGACAGCUUUGUAGAAUCUGAAAAUGAAUUGGAAACUUUGAUCAAGCGCACCAGAGAUCGUGAAAAACAACUAAUAAUGACAUUUGAGAGCAGUUCACCAUUACGGGGAAGCCCACAUCUCGUGGAAAUUAGUUCCGAAGAAGACAACAUUAAGUGCAGUGAAAGUGCCUCAAUACAUUCAAUUGCUACACUUGUGCUUGACCCACAUUCGAACUUAUACUCUCCUACGAACCCUAAAAUGUGUCCUAUAGAAAAUUAUUCGUCCACACAGAUUAUUGGUAGUCCAAACAAGUGCAACAGAAAACACAGAUAUUCAAAUCCUAUAAACAUGAACCCAGAAGUAUAUACAAGUAACAUGAAAAAUGUUACUUUACACAAGUAUCCUGUUUCAACAAAUACACAGUGUGUAAGCCCAGAGAGAGAUGUCUGCCUGAAAAUAGAGCAUUAUUCUCCAAUUAUAGUUCCUACUAACAUUGAAUGUACUACAGGCAACUCUUUUGAUAUAAACACUCCUAAGUGUGAAGUUUUAUCUCCUACGAUAAAAUCGAAUUUGGAACAAAAAAUUUCCUUUUAUUCAGCAGGUACUGAACCAAAUAUAAAGAAGGAACCUUAUUCCCCUGUUAUAAAUUAUUCAAAUAUGUAUUUAGGACCUUUCUUACAUACUGAUAGCACUUCCCACGUCUUUCAAAACUCCGACCCUUUUGAAGGAAAUGCCAAAUCAAUAUGUUAUAAGUUGCUAGAUGAUAAGACUGAAGACUGAAUCAUAAAUUUGCCUCUAAUGACAAAAGAUAGCUAAGUGUCGAUAACGUACGUCGAGUUGCGGACACCAGCCCGUUACACCAAGUACCAAGUACAACGUACAAGAUGUACUUAAAGUAGCAUUAUUUGAUUCAAUCUUGGCGUUAAUUCCUAGAUCUAAGUAAAGUUUGAGUAGUUAAAUAAAAAGGUAAAGGUUUUUAAGUUUGUUUUUGUGAAUUUAAUUAAACAUUGUGUUAUAAAAAAAAAGUAAACG